rnacentral:tRNA from 1 species
GCCCAGGUGGUGGAACUGGUAGACACGCUAUCUUGAGGGGGUAGUGCCCGAUCGGGCGUGGGGGUUCGAAUCCCCCCCUGGGUA